AAUAGAUACGUUCUUAAAAACUAUUCGCAAAAACGUUUUUGGGUGGCCAGCAAGGCUUGCGGGAUUUGUUUGAUUACCGAAAUCUGGGAAGUGCGGAAGAGAGUAGAGUUUCGAGUUGUGUGUUAUGCUCGAUUGGAUGGCUUUCAUGUGAUGAAAAAUUAAUUCGAAAGUUUCGAAAUUGUUUCGAGUUGAUACAUUUAU
ensembl:ncRNA F48E3.12 ncRNA